CGAGACGGAGAGGCAUCUCUACCGUCUGGAAAGUUUUUCGGUCUGGGAUGGACUCGCGGCCUAUCAGCUUGUUGGUGAGGUAAUGGCUCACCAAGGCGACGACGGGUAGCCGGCCUGAGAGGGCGACCGGCCACACUGGGACUGAGACACGGCCCAGACUCCUACGGGAGGCAGCAGUGGGGAAUAUUGCACAAUGGGCGAAAGCCUGAUGCAGCGACGCCGCGUGAGGGAUGACGGCCUUCGGGUUGUAAACCUCUUUCAGCAGGGAAGAAGCGAAAGUGACGGUACCUGCAGAAGAAGCACCGGCUAACUACGUGCCAGCAGCCGCGGUAAUACGUAGGGUGCGAGCGUUGUCCGGAAUUAUUGGGCGUAAAGAGCUUGUAGGCGGUUUGUCGCGUCUGCAGUGAAAAUCCGGGGCUCAACCCCGGACUUGCUGUGGGUACGGGCAGACUAGAGUGUGGUAGGGGAGACCGGAAUUCCUGGUGUAGCGGUGGAAUGCGCAGAUAUCAGGAGGAACACCGAUGGC
rnacentral:rRNA from 1 species